rnacentral:lncRNA from 1 species
ACCCCAAGCCCAAUGUCAGGGAGUUUCACAGGAUUCAGAGGAAAGAAGAAAAUGUCACUGUCAUGCUUUGAAGUAUUUUCUGCAUCAAGUCUUACUGUGUAUGGGAAUUGUCUUUCCUCAAGUUCCCAGAUAGAUACUUCCUGGGAGAACAGAGGCUACAGUCUACCUUUGCAGAUCCCAGCCCUUCCCCCAGGCCAGUAAGGAUCUUACAAAAGCCUCUUGUGAACCGACAGGGACACCCCAGAACCCUAAUGGGAGAAGAAGGGCAAGUGUGGGCAAGUGUUGCCCUAGCUCUCCUGCCUGCAGCCAUUUCUCAAGCAACCUGGUUCUCAGGGAGACUUCAAGAACCAGUUUCUGGUCUUUGCUUGAAAAGGAAACCAGUCAUUCAAGGGUAAAUCAUAAGUACUAAAUGAAAAGCUCUGUGACUGUACACUAAAGACUUCAUCACAAGAGGAGAAAUCUCUUGUCUACACACUUGUGUCAACCUAGGAGUCCGGGACAGAAGGCAUGUGGGACUGGCCAGACUUGAAAGUAACAUUCUGAAUGCAAGGCAAGGACAGAAGGAACUGAUUCCUUCACAGUCCUCAGGAACCACGUGGUGGCCAGAUUGACAGUACCAGAGAAUAGCACCUUCCCACUUGGGUAAACUG